rnacentral:rRNA from 1 species
AGAGUUUGAUCAUGGCUCAGAGUGAACGCUGGCGGCGUGCUUAACACAUGCAAGUCGAACGAGAACGGCCCUAGCUUGCUAGGGUGUCAGCUAAGUGGCGGACGGGUGAGUAAUGUAUAGUUAAUCUGCCCUUCAGAGGGGGAUAACAGUUGGAAACGACUGCUAAUACCCCAUACUCCUUCUCUCUUGAUGAGAGUCGGGAAAUGUCUUUUCGCUGAAGGAUGAGACUAUAUGGUAUCAGCUUGUUGGUGAGGUAAUGGCUCACCAAGGCAAUGACACCUAGCUGGUCUGAGAGGAUGAUCAGCCACACUGGAACUGAGACACGGUCCAGACUCCUACGGGAGGCAGCAGUGGGGAAUAUUGCACAAUGGAGGAAACUCUGAUGCAGCAACGCCGCGUGGAGGAUGACGCAUUUCGGUGUGUAAACUCCUUUUAUAUGGGAAGAUAA